CAAUAAGCGGAGGAAAAGAAACUAACAAGGAUUCCCCUAGUAACGGCGAGUGAAGCGGGAUGAGCUCAAAUUUGAAAGCUGGCCUUACGGUCCGCGUUGUAAUCUCGAGAAGUGUUUUCCGUGUCGGUCCACGUACAAGUCCCUUGGAAUAGGGCGUCGUAGAGGGUGAGAAUCCCGUACUUGACGUGACCGCCGAUGCUUUGUGAUACACUCUCCACGAGUCGAGUUGUUUGGGAAUGCAGCUCAAAAUGGGUGGUAAACUCCAUCUAAAGCUAAAUAUUGGGGAGAGACCGAUAGCGAACAAGUACCGUGAGGGAAAGAUGAAAAGCACUUUGGAAAGAGAGUUAAACAGUACGUGAAAUUGUCGAAAGGGAAGCGCUUGAAGUCAGCUAUGCUGGUCGAGAUUCAGCCUUGCUCUUGCAUGGUGUAUUUCUCGGCACGCAGGUCAGCAUCGGUUUUGGUUGCUGGAUAAGGGUAGAUGGAAUGUGGCACCCUCGGGUGUGUUUAUAGACUUCUACUUGAUACAGUGGCUGGGACCGAGGUACGCAGUGCGCCCUUUUGGGUAGGCCUUCGGGUACUUUCGCACUUAGGAUGCUGGCGUAAUGGCUUUAAGCGACCCGUCUUGAAACAC
rnacentral:rRNA from 1 species